UUGAACGCUGGCGGCAUGCCUUACACAUGCAAGUCGAACGGCAGCACGGGGGGUAACCCCUGGUGGCGAGUGGCGAACGGGUGAGUAAUAUAUCGGAACGUGUCCUGUAGCGGGGGAUAACCUAUCGAAAGAUGGACUAAUACCGCAUACGACCUACGGGUGAAAGCGGAGGACCGCAAGGCUUCGCACUAUAGGAGCGGCCGAUAUCGGAUUAGCUAGUUGGCGGGGUAACGGCCCACCAAGGCGACGAUCCGUAGCUGGUCUGAGAGGACGAUCAGCCACACUGGAACUGAGACACGGUCCAGACUCCUACGGGAGGCAGCAGUGGGGAAUUUUGGACAAUGGGCGCAAGCCUGAUCCAGCCAUGCCGCGUGAGUGAAGAAGGCCUUCGGGUUGUAAAGCUCUUUCGGCGGGGACGAAACGGUUCGUGCUAAUACCACGGACUACUGACGGUACCCGCAGAAGAAGCACCGGCUAACUACGUG
rnacentral:rRNA from 1 species